UUCCUCCUGAACCCAACCUGUGUUUCCCUGUCACAGUUUUUCAAAGACACAGAGACACCCACAGACUCACAAACCACUUCACCCUGUCAACAAAUGUCCCCUGAUAUUGUUUUGCCAUGUCAAGUACUAUGGUAAAUUCUUCUGAUGUGUUAUAUACAACAACCUUCACUUCAAUGCAUGAAUUAUUCUUUGAAUUUCCCGACCAUUAAACUUUUCAGAUAUGGGGAAUUGGAUCUGAAUUCACUGCCUUGACUAUGAAUUUCAAUCUUAUGCUAUGUCUUGCCUUGAAGUCAGAAGAACCUCCUUCAAGCUGAGAGCAAAGUAGCACCUUAAAUUCCAGCAAAAGAAACCAGCCUCACUAAAGAAUUAUGGGACAUCUAUGUGAGAACCACUGUUUCAUUUGGAAUCCCAAGAGAAAAUAUAUGAGAUAUCCUCAAAAAUGGAUAAAUAAUUGUGUUUUGCAACUAGAACAUUGUUCUAAAAUAAGAGAAAAUAAUGAAAUUUCUUGAUUUCCAUUUCCAUUCCUGAAAAACUGAAGUAAAAAUUAUUGAGUAAAUGAA